rnacentral:rRNA from 1 species
CAGCCGCCGCGGGAAUACGUAGGGUGCGAGCGUUAAUCGGAAUUACUGGGCGUAAAGCGUGCGCAGGCGGUUAUAUAAGACAGAUGUGAAACCCCCGGGCUCAACCUGGGACCUGCAUUUGUGACUGUAUAGCUAGAGUACGGUAGAGGGGGAUGGAAUUCCGCGUGUAGCAGAGAAAUGCGUAGAUAUGCGGAGGAACACCGAUGGCGAAGGCAAUCCCCUGGACCUGUACUGACGCUCAUGCACGAAAGCGUGGGGAGCAAACAGGAUUAGAUACCCGCGUAGUCCCUGUCUCUUAUAC